CCUACGGGGGGCUGCAGUGGGGAAUAUUGGACAAUGGGGGGAACCCUGAUCCAGCCAUGCCGCGUGUGUGAAGAAGGCCCUCGGGUUGUAAAGCACUUUCAGUGAGGAAGAACGCCUGGUGGUUAAUACCCAUUAGGAAAGACAUCACUCACAGAAGAAGCACCGGCUAACUCCGUGCCAGCAGCCGCGGUAAUACGGAGGGUGCGAGCGUUAAUCGGAAUUACUGGGCGUAAAGCGCGCGUAGGUGGCUUGAUAAGCCGGUUGUGAAAGCCCCGGGCUCAACCUGGGAACGGCAUCCGGAACUGUCAAGCUAGAGUGCAGGAGAGGAAGGUAGAAUUCCCGGUGUAGCGGUGAAAUGCGUAGAGAUCGGGAGGAAUACCAGUGGCGAAGGCGGCCUUCUGGACUGACACUGACACUGAGGUGCGAAAGCGUGGGUAGCAAACAGGAUUAGAUACCCGAGUAGUC
rnacentral:rRNA from 1 species